AUGAACGCUGGCGGCGUGCCUAAUCCAUGCAAGUCGAGCGAACGGACGAGAAGCUUGCUUCUCUGAUGUUAGCGGCGGACGGGUGAGUAACACGUGGAUAACCUACCUAUAAGACUGGGAUAACUUCGGGAAACCGGAGCUAAUACCGGAUAAUAUUUUGAACCGCAUGGUUCAAAAGUAAAAGACGGUCUUGCUGUCACUUAUAGAUGGAUCCGCGCUGCAUUAGCUAGUUGGUAAGGUAACGGCUUACCAAGGCAACGAUGCAUAGCCGACCUGAGAGGGUGAUCGGCCACACUGGAACUGAGACACGGUCCAGACUCCUACGGGAGGCAGCAGUAGGGAAUCUUCCGCAAUGGGCGAAAGCCUGACGGAGCAACGCCGCGUGAGUGAUGAAGGUCUUCGGAUCGUAAAACUCUGUUAUUAGGGAAGAACAUAUGUGUAAGUAACUGUGCACAUCUUGACGGUACCUAAUCAGAAAGCCACGGCUAACUACGU
rnacentral:rRNA from 1 species